GAGAGAAAGAGGCGGCUCCUGGAAGGCCCGCCCCCAUACCGUGGACCCAGUUUGACCCCGGUGAAGGGGCGGAGGAGGAGCCUCGUGGCUCAUGGGCGGGGCCAUCCCUGUGUCUCGCGUUGUCCCCUGCCGGCUCCCGGGCUCGGCCCCCCGCGGGGAGUCGGAGGAGGGGUGGGGCGAGGGCGGGUCCGGCGGGUCUGGGGGCGGGACUCGGGGCGGGGGAGGUGUCAGUCUCGCGCUGGCUGCCGCCGCCGCCGCCGCCGCUGCCGCCACCGCGGCUCCUCCUUGCUCCCUCACUCACAUGCUGGCGGUGCCAGUGGCCCCGGUGGCUGCCAGCCCGCCAGUCCGUCCAACCUCCCACCCGCUGCCAGUUCCCAGCCUUGGGCAUGCAGACAGCCCGCUGUUUCCUCGCCCAGGUGUUAAUGAAAAAAUGCACACAAUCCUGACAGAUGGGACUGGUUCCUGA
rnacentral:lncRNA from 1 species